rnacentral:lncRNA from 1 species
CACAGGUUUGGAGGUCAACUGCAGUGAGGUCUCUAUACCACAGAGUCUCAAUACAAACAAGUCUUCACGGAGUUGGAGUUUCCUCCUCACCUGUUGCUAAACCAGGCAGCAUGGAUUGGCAUAUUCACUGACUUCAUGGCACGAAGGCCUACAAAAGUGGAACAACUUUUCACCAGUGCAAAAAUGUUCCAAAAGAUACUCUCUCUGUCCAA